ensembl:lncRNA
GGACUCCGCGCGCAGCCGGUGCGCGGUUCCCAGGCCCCGCGGUGCACUGGCGCGGCGCGGCCCAGAGGGGCUCGGCGCUCCUCCUGAGGGGAGGGGGCUGCGAGCGGCGCGGCGCCCGCGACCUCAGGCGGGGGCCAGCCUACCUGCACCCGCGGUGCGGGAACGCUGUCUCCGUCCUCCUUGGGAUUCGUUUUCGCCCCUCUGGCAGCGAUAAGUUAAAAAUCCCGAAAUCUGUUGCAGUGAUGUCGUAAUUGGCGUCUUACUGGGUUCUCAGCGACAGUUGCCGAAAAUUCUUACUGAGCAAGACAUAAUCUUUUUUUAAUUCCUACAAUUUGAGAAAUGUGAUUCUUAACUGGGGAAAUUGACGCGUCGUGGGGCCCGCACGUUGAGCCAACCAAACGUUGGCCCCGGCAGUGGUGUGCCAUCUGCUUUGCCCUGGCUGCCUCGGCCUUACCGGGCUGGUCACGGCUAAAGGUCACCGUAUUGAGGAAGUCCUGAACUUCAUUUGUUGAUUGAAGAUGAUGUUGAAGGCGAUGAGAGGAACAAGGGGGCUCUUUGGCUUCUUCAGAAACGUAAGGCCUAGAAUAAUAUCAGCAGGUCUCCGCCUUUGAGCAGAUGAGCGUGGGCUGUGCGCAGGGCAGGGGACUCCUUAUCUCGUAUCAUUGGGAAGAUGGUAGCAAGGCCUUGAGGAACAUCGCUGGCUCCCUAAUUCUCCCUUCCCCUUAAAAGGAAUUACUCUGCUUAAUGUAGACAAACUGAACAUUUUGAAACUUGCUCCUGGUGGGCACCGUUUCGAAUUUGCUUUCAGCAAGUGAGAUGAUCUGUAUGGCACCUCUUUCAAGAGUAACUACAACCUUCCCAUGCACGAGAUGCUCAACACAGACCUUGGGAGAAUUCUUAAAAGUCCCAGAGCACCAAGCAAGGAGAGUUAUCGCAGGGUCCUGAAAAAGAAUCCACUGAGAAGCCUGAGAAUUAUGUUGAAUCUAACUAAACCCACGUGCAAAGGCCAUGCACCUGGGCAGGCUAAGAAUCAAACCUCCAGGAGGAUAGGGCAGCAGUGGAUCUAGAAGCCAGAUCAGAUGGGGAGGGGUUCCAGGCAAGAAGCCUUUAGUAGGGAAGAAAGGAAAGGAGGCUGCAGAAACCAAGAAACCGACCACUGGGAAGCCCCGCAGAAAACCCACCACGGAAGAGAAGAAUCCUGCUGCACAAACUUGUCUGUUUAUCCCCUGAAGGUCAACUCAUUUUGGACAGCUCAUUUUGAAUAAAGACCUGACCAAAGAGUCAGGGAGAAACACACACGCAUACACACCCUCGGAUCUGGCUCCGCGCCGCCCCCUGGCAGUGUCCCUGCCGGGCCUACACUCUCCGGAAUCGCGCCCCACCCCGCCCCACCCCCACGGCGCCGGGUCCCCGCCCCCCACCCCCCUCCACACACACACCUCCCAGGAGAGCCUGAGCGUCGCCGGCCGACGACACAGCUGCCGGGUCCUACGCAGGCACCUGCUCCAGGAUUGCCGCAUCGCUGGUUCACGGGAAGACGGCAGGAGGGGCGAACUCUACUGUGUGCCCACUCCCAGGGCUCCCCGGACGUCCCCGGCGGCCCUCUGCCCCCAGGAGCUGGAGUGGGGGGAUGCACUGAGAAACAUGCAAGAGGUCGGGCGAUGCCAGCGCGCAGGAAUGCUGCCAACAGAGCGUUCCGAGUCUGGAAGGGGGCUGGGAAAGGCGUGCGGUCCGGGAGCCCCAGCCCAGCCCCCGGGCCCGCCCACUCCGCCUCCAGGCCGCCCUCCACCCAGAGGAGAACUGCUCUUAGAUCCUGAUCUCGAUGGAGAGAAAAUGAACUUUUUUUACCCACCUUUUCUACUUUGUUAGGACAUGUUGAUCACCCAGGAAGCUUUACCUGAAACUAUCUUGAAACUGUAAUUUGCUCGACACUUGAAUUGGUUGCUAAAAGAUUAAAGGAUCUCUGAGGACUUUUGAAGCUAUAUUGGAGUUGACUGUGCCUAAAG